AAGAAACUAACAAGGAUUCCCCUAGUAACGGCGAGUGAAGCGGGAAGAGCUCAAAUUUAAAAUCUGGCUUGCUUGCAAGUCCGAGUUGUAGUCUGAAGAAGCGUUUUCCAUGAAAGCUGAGGCACAAGUCCUUUGGAACAGGGCAUCAUAGAGGGUGAGAAUCCCGUCCAUGGUCUCAUGCAUUUCAUUUUGUGAUACGUUUUCUAAGAGUCAGGUUGUUUGGGAAUGCAGCCUAAAAUGGGUGGUAAAUUUCAUCUAAAGCUAAAUAUUGGCGAGAGACCGAUAGCGAACAAGUACCGUGAGGGAAAGAUGAAAAGAACUUUGAAAAGAGAGUUAAAAAGUACGUGAAAUUGUUGAAAGGGAACCGUUUGAAGCCAGUCUUGCUUACUCUGUGAUCAAUCUUAGCUUUGGCUUGGAUGCACUCUCAAGUUAUGCAGGUCAACGUCAGUUUGAGAGGUGGGAAAAAAGUUUGAGGAAUGUGGCCUUCGGGUGUUAUAGCCUCUUACUAAAUACCAUCUCCUGGACUGAGGCUCGCAGCAAAAAUGUGGGCUGGUUUGCUCCUGAGGUGAAUCAUUAUUAAGACAGCUUGCUGACUUAGUUUUGUGGAUCUUCACGGUAGGCUAGCUUCUAAUUUGCUUAGGUCGUUGACAUAAUGGCUUUAAAGACCCCA
rnacentral:rRNA from 1 species